GAUUUCUGGUUUGGUGCGCCUGGCCCGCCACGGUUACGUGUGUGAGUGCUGGGUCGCGCCUGCCAUCCUUCUAGAAAACGUUACUACUCUUCAUUGAGCCGGUAUCGCAAUCUAGAUCUUUUACUUUGAAAAAAUUAGAGUGUUUAAAGCAGGCUUUUGCUAUGAAUACAUUAGCAUGGAAUAAUAAUUUAGGACUUCGGUUCUAUUUUGUUGGUUUCUAGGACUGAAGUAAUGAUUGAUAGGGAUAGUUGGGGGUGCUAGUAUUGGCCGGCCAGAGGUGAAAUUCUUGGAUUCGGUCAAGACUAACUUAUGCGAAAGCAUU
rnacentral:rRNA from 1 species